rnacentral:tRNA from 1 species
GCGCCGGUGGUGUAGGGCGAACAUCGCUGCCUAAAGCAGAAGAUGCGGGUUCGAGUCCCGCCUGGCGCA